GUCUGGUUACUCGUACCACACACGCUUGACCGCAGCAGCUGCAGUGUUACAGUCACAGCUCCAGCCUCCAGAGGUCAGCAGGUCGGGUCAAAGGUCAGCUGACGUCUAAAAAGAGUACCACACGCGUUUGAACUUGAGUGACAUCUGACGACAUGCACAGGUGUGUGUGUGUGUGUGUGUGUGUGUGUGUGUACAGGUGCAGCGCUGCAGUCAGUCUUCAGUAUGAGAGCGGCUCUGAGCAUCAGGUGAGGAACAUUGUGUUUUCACAUUUAGCAUUUCACUGUCACUUUUGAUCAAUUUAAUGCGUCCUUGCUGAAUAAAAGCAUUAACCCUCCAUACAACACAUAAGAAAUCAAUGCUUUGAUCCAAAGUGACUGUAAAUACAUUUAUAAUGUCACAAAGAUGUCUGUUCCACAUAAAUUCUGUUCUUCUGAACUUUCUAUUCAUCUGUGAAUCCUGAAAAAUAAAAUGUAUCAGUUUCCACAAAAAUAUUGGCAGCACAACUGUUUUCAACAUUGAUAAUAAUCAGAAAUGUUUCUCGAGCAGCAGAUCAUCAUAUUAGAAUGAUUUCUGAAGAUCAUGUGACACUGAAGACUGGAGUAAUGCUGCUGAAAAUUCAGCUGCGCAUCACAGAAAUAAAUUACAGUUUAACAGAUAUUUACAUAGAAAACAGUUGUUUUAAAUUGUAAAAAUAUUUAACAUUUUUACUGUAUUUUUGAUCAAAUAAAUGCAGUGAGCAGAAGAGACUUUAUCUGCAUUAGUGACUCUUGUCAUUUUGUGUUUUUAGUGUUGCUGUGGUUCUGUUGCCGAUCUUCAUGUGUCAUCAGACAACAAGGCAGCAGACUGGUUCUGAAGGAGCGGCGUCGAGGUCGUGGAGCUCCUGGGGUUCGUGGGGCGAGUGUUCGCGCUCCUGCGGCGGAGGAGUUCAGGAACAGACCAGAGUCUGUCUGCCACACUAUCCAGCAGUCCGUGAUGCAUCAGCAGCACAGAACACGGCCUCAAACACGCCUAACCAGAGACGCCUGAGCCUCAGCAGAUAUGGAUGGAGGUAUGACAUCAUCUUCAUCAGACAGACCAGUGAUUCUCACACUCUUUCAUCAGAUGAAACAUUAGACAGAAAUAUUUACCUGAAGUCCACCUGAGGUUAAUAUUUCAAUAAUUUAUCAACACAUUCACAUGUUCACAGUUCUCUGAUAUCAGUUAACGGUCACAUGANUUUUUUUUUUUUUUUUUUUUUGCAAUUAUAUAUAUAUUAAUCCCGGUGGUCAAAAGUUUAGAAUAGUUAAGAUUUUUUAAGUAUUUAAAAGAAGUCUCUUCUGUUCAAAUAAAUCAGUUAUUUGAUUAAAAUACA
ensembl:lncRNA